ensembl:lncRNA
CCUCCCCCCUCCCCCCCCCGCCCGCCCUCAUCACACCAGCCCCGCCCGUCACUCUCCCCUUUACAGCUGUGCAGACGAAGAACCCCAGCAGCCGGUCCCGGGAGGGAGGGGACGUAACCCGGGGCCGACACUCGGACAUCAUCACCCAAUGAAUUACGGCUUAAUAGACGAGCCGGUACCCGUUGCCGUGGGGAUGACAACACCCUUCCCCCGAGGACCCGCCCCCCGCCCCCCCGGUUUGACUUUACAGAAGCAUCGCCGGUCGACACGCUGACGUCGCGUGAGAGCGUUUUUAUACGUGUGGGGGGUUUUCUAACUUAGUGGAGAACGCCUGCCUUUCCUCUGAGGACUCACGAGUUUCGCAGCCUUCAUGUUGAGAUGCUUGCCUGCCCUGUUUGGUUUUGUGUUGCUCUCUCCACAGUGUAAAGCUUCUGUAGGCAUGAUCUCCGAGCGGCCAGGCGGCGAAAGAAAGUGCAACCGGAAAUGACUCGGAAACAAUCUGAAAAGAUCUUUUUUUUUUCUUCUUUUUUCUGUCGCCUUGAACAUUCCCGUUUUUUUUUUAUAGGCCAACGAAAAUAUUAAAAGGUGCAUGAUUAUUAUUAUUUUUUUCAAAACGUUUUACUCAAAGCACUUGUUACUAUGUGGUGAGAAUGUGAAAAUAGUCAGCGGUAACUAUAUGAGUAUACUCUGUAUAAAGACACUGAGAAAAUAAAAAUACUGUAAGAUACCUAUUUUUGAAGUAUUGAUGACAUAAAAGUUGCUGCUCUUUCUCUGGCUCUUCAUCGGGCUUUUGGGGAUUUUUGGCCCGUUCAUUCUUAAUAUUAUUUUGUUUAUUUGUCUUUUGUUGAAGCAUCAUUCAGCUGUUUUAAAGAUUCCUGCUUACACGUGUUUUGUUUUUGCUUUUCUUCACAUUGUUUUCUAAAUGCUUUGUUUAUACUCCUUUUAUAUGUGAAAACACAUCCUUCCCCUUUUCACUCUCUGUUGUCUCUUGACGGAUGUCCUCCUCCUGUCGGGACAGGGGACGGUUCGUUAGCCAUGCCUGCUGAUAGUUGUUAUAUUAUUCAGUGUCCUGGAAUUCUUUUAUUCAGUCAUCUAGAUACUGGAUGUGUGCUUCAGAAAAUAAACAAGAUGUGUUUUGAAAAUGCGCCAUGUUUUUUUUAGAUAUAAUCCCUGCAAAUCAUCCCUUAAUCAUCCUCGGGUGGAUGCUGCUGCACUGUGUGACAUGGCAAAUAUAAUUAGACUCUGGGCUUUAAAUCUUAACGGGUUGCGUCUUGUAUUUACGAUCAUUAUUAAUUGAGCCUUGACUAAAAAACGCUGUGUUGGAAUUUCUGACCCCCCCCCCUCCACAUCCCAUCCAUAUAUAUACAAAUUCCACAUAAUAGCUUCAGAUUAUCGCAUUUCCACCUUUGUUCAUGAGAUGAUCGGUUUGUAUUUGCAUUCUGAGUGACCAUCUCAAC